UUACGGCCAUAUUAUAUUGAAACACCGGCUCCCGUUCGAUCACCGAAGUUAAGUAACGUCGAGCCUGGUCAGUACUAAAAUGGGUCACCACUUGCGAAUACUAGGUGCU